rnacentral:lncRNA from 1 species
CCUCAAAGCAUCCUGGGGGUCAGCUCAGCCUCAAGUCACUUUGGGACCUCAGGGACAGAUUUUGGGGGGUGGUAAGAAAUGGCAACCAGGUUGGGUGUAGGAUGACCCCUGAGAAAAGCAGUCAGAAGUCCAGAAUAUUAUAUCCCAAAGCACUGGAAAUCAGGCUGACUUCACUGUUUUUGUUCCUGGACUAUGGUCAGUCUCCUUUCUUUCCAGGGCAAGAUUUUCACUAUGUGCUAAUGGAAAGCAGUGGGCAGGGGAAGGGCAAAUAAAUG